rnacentral:rRNA from 1 species
AUUGAACGCUGGCGGCAGGCCUAACACAUGCAAGUCGAACGAGCGGCGGACGGGUGAGUAAUGUCUGGGGAACUGCCCGAUGGAGGGGGCUAACUACUGGAAACGGUAGCUAAUACCGCAUACCAUCGGAUGUGCCCAGAUGGGAUUAGCUAGUAGGUGGGGUAAAGGCUCACCUAGGCGACGAUCCCUAGCUGGUCUGAGAGGAUGAACAGCCACACUGGGACUGAGACACGGCCCAGACUCCUACGGGAGGCAGCAGUGGGGAAUAUUGCACAAUGGGCGCAAGCCUGAUGCAGCCAUGCCGCGUGUAUGAAGAAGGCCUUCGGGUUGUAAAGUACUUUCAGCGGGGAGGCGUUACUCGCAGAAGAAGCACCGGCUAACUCCGUGCCAGCAGCCGCGGUAAUUC